AAGAGUUUGAUCCUGGCUCAGGAUGAACGCUAGCGGCAGGCUUAAUACAUGCAAGUCGAGGGGCAGCACGGGUAGCAAUACCAUGAGAGUGGCGCACGGGUGUGAGUAACGCGUAUUCAACCUACCUGUAACAGAGGGAUAGCCCAUAGAAAUGUGGAUUAAUAUCUCAUAGUUCUAUUAGAUCGCAUGAUUUGAUAGAUAAAGCUCCGGCGGUUACAGAUGGGCAUGCGUGACAUUAGCUAGUUGGUAAGGUAACGGCUUACCAAGGCUACGAUGUCUAGGGGUUCUGAGAGGAUGAUCCCCCACACUGGUACUGAGACACGGACCAGACUCCUACGGGAGGCAGCAGUGAGGAAUAUUGGUCAAUGGGCGCAAGCCUGAACCAGCCAUCCCGCGUGCAGGAUGACGGCCCUAUGGGUUGUAAACUGCUUUUAUACGGGAAUAACCCUCCGAACGUGUUCGGAGCUGAAGGUACCGUAUGAAUAAGCAUCGGCUAACUCCGUGCCAGCAGCCGCGGUAAUACGGAGGAUGCAAGCGUUAUCCGGAUUCAUUGGGUUUAAAGGGUGCGUAGGCGGCUUUUUAAGUCAGUGGUGAAAUCCUGCCGCUUAACGGUAGAAUUGCCAUUGAUACUGAAAAGCUUGAGUACAUUUGAGGUAAGCGGAAUGUGUAGUGUAGCGGUGAAAUGCUUAGAUAUUACACAGAACACCAAUUGCGAAGGCAGCUUACUAAACUGAUACUGACGCUGAUGCACGAAAGCGUGGGGAGCGAACAGGAUUAGAUACCCUGGUAGUCCACGCCGUAAACGAUGAUCACUCGCUGUUUGCGAUAUACAGCAAGCGGCUGAGCGAAAGCAUUAAGUGAUCCACCUGGGGAGUACGAUCGCAAGGUUGAAACUCAAAGGAAUUGACGGGGGCCCGCACAAGCGGAGGAACAUGUGGUUUAAUUCGAUGAUACGCGAGGAACCUUACCUGGGCUUGACAUCCCGUGACAGCCAUGGAAACAUGGUCUUGUACUAAGACACAGAGACAGGUGGUGCAUGGUUGUCGUCAGCUCGUGUCGUGAGAUGUUGGGUUAAGUCCCGCAACGAGCGCAACCCCUACAGCUAGUUGCCAGCACAUAAUGGUGGGAACUCUAGCAGAACUGCCGUUGACAAAACGGAGGAAGGUGGGGAUGACGUCAAAUCAUCAUGCCCCUUAUGUCUUGGGCUACACACGUACUACAAUGGCCUGAACAGAGGGAAGCAAAACUGCGAAGUUAAGCGAAUCCCUAAAAUCUGUCUCAGUUCGGAUUGGAGUCUGCAACUCGACUCCAUGAAGUUGGAAUCGCUAGUAAUCGCGCAUCAGCCAUGGCGCGGUGAAUACGUUCCCGGGCCUUGUACACACCGCCCGUCAAACCAUGGAAGCUGGGGGUGCCUGAAGUCUGUCACCGCAAGGAGCGGCCUAGGGUAAAACUAGUAACUGGGGUUAAGUCGUAACAAGGUAACCA
rnacentral:rRNA from 1 species